UCCGCGCGUCGUGGGGUGGCGUGGUACACCAUGCGGUACGACCUGCCUGCCCUCUUCCCUCUCUCAUUCUCUUCUCCGAUCCCCUCCCGCUCGGCUCCUCGCUCUCUAGCAUCCCUCUUUCUCCCGCGGAUAUAGUGCAUCCCAACAUCGUCGGAGAAGAGAGAAUCGUUACUAUGGCGAGAUCAAUAUGAUAGGACGGCGCAUGCCUCGGUAUCCUUAUACUUGAACCCUUCGCCGCCACUCGCUCUGCCGCGCGUCUCUCUCGCAGUUCUGCUCGUUCCGUCGUCGUCGCACCGCAUCCUCUAGCCUCGCCACCUCGCACUCCAUCUCGGCAGCCUCCAUCUCUGUCGCUCAUGCGAUCCACGUCCCCCGAUGACGUCCUCCAUAUCUCUUAGCCCCUCGCGCGCGGUACAUCCCUCUUCGUCUUGGCGCGCGCUGGAGGCCGCGUGCCAGACCGUGGGCGGCGUUGACUUAACUCACUUCAGUCAACAGAGGGCCGUAUGCGAGAGGAUACUCUUCGGUCUCUUCGGUCCGGAUCGACCUACGGGAUGUUCUUCUUUUCUUCAUCGAAUGAAGCAGAAGCCACGUCAAAAUAAAACAGCGGAAGCUGCCAGCUAGUUAGGGGAGAUCUAUUCCGAAUCAUCGCAUUUGAAACAAGAGGGCGCCAACUAGAUGUUUUAUAGAAAGGAAAAGAAAUAAAGCUAGCCGUUCGUCGGCGUCGUGUAAUAUUUUGGCACGCUCAAGAAGACGCGCUUGUGUGCUCCUGUUCGAAAUAUGUGAUGUAUGACUAUCGAGUCAGCCGGGUGAUAUGACAUGUCUAUGUUCAACGGAGCGUACCAAAGUGAUAUAAAAAAAAAGAAAGUUUUUAGUUUUCAAUUAAGUUUUCUCUCCAGUUUGACGCAGAGCUAGCACAAACAUUAAAAAAGAACAUAAUUGUAUAAUAAAUUUAAUUUUGUUUUAUGACCAUUUUCAUGUACACUUUGAGAAUAGAAGAAAAUGAAAGAGAGCACAAUCGUUGAAAGCGCUGACCAUUUAAGAAUCAUUUAAAUAAGACGCCAUGAAACGUAAUAGUUUUCGUUCCUUAGCAAUUUACAUGAAGCAAAUAACAUAUUACGAAGCUCGUUUUUUUUUCUAAUUAGAAAAAAGGUCGACUGGACGAAGGUUAACGCUCCGUUGGCCCGAUUCUCCUUUGUGCUGCCUUUUCUCCGCUCUUCCGCGUCGCGCGUUCCUUUACAUGCUCACGUGUUGAACGAUAAUAACGAUCACAACAACGAUGUUCUAAUCUGACGCCUAUCUGAUCGUAUCAAUAUACGAUCGAAUUCCUGAAUCGGGCUAACCAUCCUAUAACACUUAUGUCUCCUCAGUCUAAGUAACAGGCUUAAUGACAAAUACGUUUUUGAUUUUUUUAGAAAACGUUUCUGGAAAAUCGUUUUUCAUUGUCGCCUGUAGAAAUAUUUAACAUCAAAUUUCUUUAAAUAAACUCUUUGCCAUUCUAUUAUUUUUUGUAAAUGAGAUAUGUCAUCUUUAAUUUUUAUAUAACAUGAAUCAAAAUCAUUUUUCUUACUUGAAGGGAAGAAUUUAUAAAGACUCCGAAAUAAUUCACUGAUUAUAAUGACGUAAAAAGUCAAAGAAGUUGAAAAAUUUAUGCGACUGGCUACACACAACGCAUUAUGUAAAGUCACAAUGAGACUGCAAAGAGUUGAAUUACGAGUGAGUAAAUGUGAAUUUAUUUGAGCAAUAGUUUUUUACGUACCUCUACUAGGAAAAUUUAAUUUAUAAAGAAAUCUUUUCACGAUUAUUUGCAAUUCAAAAAGUACGAGCAAUUCAAAAUUUUACAAAUGCAUGAUUAUCAAAGAAGCUAUGAUUGUAAAAUUUAACGUGAUAAAAACGUUCUUUACAAACUUUAUUAACGCGUCAUCGGGCUGAGUUUUAUUAUUUGUCUUCUGUCAAAACUCUGAAAUAUCCUGAAAGAAAUUCCACGUUGGCAUCCGAUUCUGUAGCGCGCCUCAACGCUGAUAACCCCUAGACGCAUUAGGCGCAGUGUAUUUACAUUUGCAUCACUGGCAUCCUGGAGGUUCCGCCUUUGCGAUUUCUACGCUACCGCUGGUAAUAGUCGCGAGUUUAUACACUCUACUGGCGUCAAAGUCACGUUUCUCGGGCAGUUUCCACCACGAUGCGCCAACGUUCUUCGACAUCUCUCUACUCGCGCUUCCGCUUCUGAUUGUCUAUUGCGUUUCCGCUUCAUCGGCCCCUUGCAUUUUUCAUUCCAACUUAUUUGACGCUGUCCAAUCGCAAAGAAUAACCAAUGUAAGCCGGUUCGCGAUUGACUACAAAAAAGAAGCGACGUAACUUCUCCGCUUUUCAAUACGUAGUUUUUUUUUUUAUCUCCGCCACUGGCGGGUGCUGAAUCACGAAUGAAAUAUUUUCUGUGGUCUGGGUC